AACGAACGCUGGCGGCAUGCCUAACACAUGCAAGUCGAACGAGACCUUCGGGUCUAGUGGCGCACGGGUGCGUAACGCGUGGGAAUCUGCCCUUAGGUUCGGAAUAACUCCCCGAAAGGGGUGCUAAUACCGGAUAAUGUCUUCGGACCAAAGAUUUAUCGCCUUUGGAUGGGCCCGCGUUGGAUUAGCUAGUUGGUAGGGUAAAAGCCUACCAAGGCGACGAUCCAUAGCUGGUCUGAGAGGAUGAUCAGCCACACUGGGACUGAGACACGGCCCAGACUCCUACGGGAGGCAGCAGUAGGGAAUAUUGGACAAUGGGCGAAAGCCUGAUCCAGCAAUGCCGCGUGAGUGAUGAAGGCCUUAGGGUUGUAAAGCUCUUUUACCCGGGAUGAUAAUGACAGUACCGGGAGAAUAAGCUCCGGCUAACUCCGUG
rnacentral:rRNA from 1 species